GUAGGAUUUGCCGAGUUCCUUCUUUUUCUUUUAAUCUUUCCAUUAAUGUUCUUGUGUAAGGUUAACGUUUUGAUUUGUAGAGUUUUCUUGGUAUGUUACUAAAGGGGGCUCAAUUUCGUUAAUUGCCAUUGGUUUGUCUAAUAUGGCUUAAGUUUACAUUUUGGAGAAAAAUUAUUUCUUGUUACUAGUUCUAGCAUUAUACUUUUCAUAUUUUUAUGAAAUUACUCAAUAUUGGAGAAGGGUUUUAAAUGGUAUGGGGGAUUAGGAAAAGAAAAUGUUAAGCUUUAACGCUUUUAUGAAGGAUGGCUGCUUUUAGGCCCACUAGUCAUUUCAUUUUUGAUAUAUUACCCUGUGGCGUAGGUUGUAUCCUGUUUCAAAUAAGCUGUGCCUUAUUUGAAUAGCUCUUAAAUUUAGUGGUGGUUUAGAGAAACUAGGAAAAAUUUAAGGUUGAACUAAAAUUCUUUUCUUGAGUAACCAGCUAUUUCUGGGUGCGGUAGGUUUAUCACCUCUACUUGGAAAUCUUCCCACUCUAUUGCAACAGAGACGGGUUGGCUCUUACAGCUGUUUCGAAGUAGCUCACGUCAGUUUCGGGG
rnacentral:rRNA from 1 species